CAUUGAUCCUCUGGAACUGGAGUUACGGAUAUUUGUGAGCCACUGUGUGGAUGCUGGGAAUUGAACUUAGCCAGUGCUUAACCACUGGGCUAUCUGUCCAGCUCCCAAACAUUUCCAUAUUCAUAUAUUGAUUAUCUCUGGUGUUUUGUUACGGUAACAGAAAGCUAAGGCAAACCCUAAACUUUCCUCUGACUGGAACAGGGUUUCCUAGACCUUUGUACAGCUGGCUCUUCACAUGAAACAAACUUCAGAUACCACAGACCACCACUUAGGUGUGUUAAGAUUCUGGGAUUGCUCAGAGAUUCCCCAGUCUGACAAUUAAGAUUUUUUUCUCAGGUUUUAUUAAAUACUGGCUAGGACUAUGAAAACUGGCCAGAUCCAUACCUGAGACUCAUGCUCAGAAUAUGGUGUCAAAUGACAUUAAGUCAGGGACUUAUAGAGGCAAAACCACAAGGCUGCGUACUUCCUGUCUUUGUGCAAUUGGAGACAAGUACACAUCCUGACAUAUUCCCUGACUAUGUAUGAUCAAGCACACAUUCUGUGCCCUUUGGGGCAACCAGACUUGUUUACAGAUGCAAAAAUACUGCCUUGUUAUCUCACAUGAACAACAGCCCCCAGCAUUCCAGUUAUCUGUCCUUAGGCAGGUGGGGCUCACAGUUAGAGGCAUUUUUGCUUUAUAGCUCUCUUAAGCACAGUCAUUUAAACGUAAUACAUAAUGAAAACCAUCACAGGUGCUGUGUGAUUGUCUGCAAGCGACCCUGUGUUUCUUUCUCAGUUGCAACGAGGGGACAUGAGAGAGCCUUCGCAGGGAGUUGCUGUGAAAGAAAGACGAACAUUUGUAAGGAUCCUGAAGUCGCUCCCAACAUGCACACUAGUUUGAGCACUAUUUUUUUUAUUGUAAUUAAAACCCCAGCCUUCUUCUCGGAGAGUCUUUCUCUCUAAAAAUAGGGCCAUCACUUUGAGGGAGGGGUUGUCACUUUUGUUUUCUUUUUGGCACUCAACACUGAAUUCAAUUAGUCGAUGUAUUCAAUAAUCCGCUUAUGUGUUUACUUCUGCUUCUCCUUCUAUGUGUCAUGCUAGAAAAUGUCCCAAAGGACACCUGUCUUCACUGACUGAAGAGUGUGUGAGGGACAUCUGGCACAGUCUUGUCCUUGGACUUACAUAGCAGUCAGCGUGGGGACCGGACACAGCCCAGAGCCCCUUCGGUGGCGCUAAUUGCUCACUGGUAGAGAGCACCACCAGUAGGAUGUUAUUGUCCAUCCAGCGACAUCCCAGCUGUAGAGCCCUCUCCUAAUCAGCAUCGUGUUCCUAGGCAAAUCAGCGAUGGCUUCCAUCAGAGGAGAACAGCCCUGCCCAUCAUCCUGGACACUCUGACAGGCCAUUCAAGCUCUGGAGCUACCUGAGCUGCCUCUGCCUCCAGAAUGCGGGAGUUAAAGCUGUGCACCACCAUUGCCUGGAAGAGAGACUCUUGAGGAGUUGCCUCGAUCAGAUUGUUCUGUGAGAAGUCUGUGGGGCAUUUUCAUGAUAAUGACAGCUGUGGAAGAGUCCAGCUCACUGUGGACAGUUCCAGUUUUGGGUCAGUGGUCUUGGGCUGAGUAAGCCAUGCAGAACAAGAAAGCACAGCCCUCCAUGGUCUCCUUCAGUUUCAGCCUUGACUUCCCUCAGCGAUGGACUGUGAUGUAGAAGUGAAAGCUGAAAUAAAUCCUUUCGUCACGAUGA